rnacentral:rRNA from 1 species
CCCGUACUUGGUGUUACUGCGAAGGGGGGACGGAGAAGGCUAUGUUGGCCGGGCGACGGUUGUCCCGGUUUAAGCGUGUAGGUGUGUGUUCCAGGUAAAUCCGGUUCACUUUAACACUGAGGCGUGACGACGAGGCACUACGGUGCUGAAGCAACAAAUGCCCUGCUUCCAGGAAAAGCCUCUAAGCAUCAGGUAACACGAAAUCGUACCCCAAACCGACACAGGUGGUCAGGUAGAGAAUACCAAGGCGCUUGAGAGAACUCGGGUGAAGGAACUAGGCAAAAUGGUGCCGUAACUUCGGGAGAAGGCACGCUGACACGUAGGUGAAGUGAUUUACUCAUGGAGCUGAAGUCAGUCGAAGAUACCAGCUGGCUGCAACUGUUUAUUAAAAACACAGCACUGUGCAAACACGAAAGUGGACGUAUACGGUGUGACGCCUGCCCGGUGCCGGAAGGUUAAUUGAUGGGGUCAGCGCAAGCGAAGCUCCUGAUCGAAGCCCCGGUAAACGGCGGCCGUAACUAUAACGGUCCUAAGGUAGCGAAAUUCCUUGUCGGGUAAGUUCCGACCUGCACGAAUGGCGUAAUGAUGGCCAGGCUGUCUCCACCCGAGACUCAGUGAAAUUGAACUCGCUGUGAAGAUGCAGUGUACCCGCGGCAAGACGGAAAGACCCCGUGAACCUUUACUAUAGCUUGACACUGAACAUUGAGCCUUGAUGUGUAGGAUAGGUGGGAGGCUUUGAAGUGUGGACGCCAGUCUGCAUGGAGCCGACCUUGAAAUACCACCCUUUAAUGUUUGAUGUUCUAACGUGGACCCGUAAUCCGGGUUGCGGACAGUGUCUGGUGGGUAGUUUGACUGGGGCGGUCUCCUCCUAAAGAGUAACGGAGGAGCACGAAGGUUGGCUAAUCCUGGUCGGACAUCAGGAGGUUAGUGCAAUGGCAUAAGCCAGCUUGACUGCGAGCGUGACGGCGCGAGCAGGUGCGAAAGCAGGUCAUAGUGAUCCGGUGGUUCUGAAUGGAAGGGCCAUCGCUCAACGGAUAAAAGGUACUCCGGGGAUAACAGGCUGAUACCGCCCAAGAGUUCAUAUCGACGGCGGUGUUUGGCACCUCGAUGUCGGCUCAUCACAUCCUGGGGCUGAAGUAGGUCCCAAGGGUAUGGCUGUUCGCCAUUUAAAGUGGUACGCGAGCUGGGUUUAGAACGUCGUGAGACAGUUCGGUCCCUAUCUGCCGUGGGCGCUGGAGAACUGAGGGGGGCUGCUCCUAGUACGAGAGGACCGGAGUGGACGCAUCACUGGUGUUCGGGUUGUCAUGCCAAUGGCACUGCCCGGUAGCUAAAUGCGGAAGAGAUAAGUGCUGAAAGCAUCUAAGCACGAAACUUGCCCCGAGAUGAGUUCUCCCUGAGACUUAGAGUCUCCUGAAGGAACGUUGAAGACGACGACGUUGAUAGGCCGGGUGUGUAAGCGCAGCGAUGCGUUGAGCUAACCGGUACUAAUGAACCGUGAGGCUUAACCUUACA